GAAGCUGGCUACAUGAUUUCGUUUGGAUGUUUGUCUUCUCCACAUCUCCUGUUGAAGUGUGAGCCCCAGUGUUGGCGGUGGAGCCUAGUGGGAGGUGUUGGAGUCAUGGGGUUGGAUCCUUCAUGAAGGGCUUGCUACCAUUCUUGUGUAAUGAGUGAGUUUUCACUCUAUUAGUUCACAAGACAACUGGUGGUUUA